AGAGUUUGAUCAUGGCUCAGGAUGAACGCUGGCGGCGUGCCUAAUACAUGCAAGUCGAGCGAAUGACGAGGAGCUUGCUCCUCUGAUUUAGCGGCGGACGGGUGAGUAACACGUGGGUAACCUGCCUGUAAGACGGGGAUAACUCCGGGAAACCGGAGCUAAUACCGGAUGAUAACGAGAAGCGCCUGCUUCUUUUUUGAAAGUCGGUUUCGGCUGACGCUUACAGAUGGGCCCGCGGCGCAUUAGCUAGUUGGUGAGGUAACGGCUCACCAAGGCGACGAUGCGUAGCCGACCUGAGAGGGUGAUCGGCCACACUGGGACUGAGACACGGCCCAGACUCCUACGGGAGGCAGCAGUAGGGAAUCUUCGGCAAUGGACGAAAGUCUGACCGAGCAACGCCGCGUGAGCGAUGAAGGCCUUCGGGUCGUAAAGCUCUGUUGUCAGAGAAGAACAAGUACCGGAGUAACUGCCGGUACCUUGACGGUACCUGACCAGAAAGCCACGGCUAACUACGUGCCAGCAGCCGCGGUAAUACGUAGGUGGCAAGCGUUAUCCGGAAUUAUUGGGCGUAAAGCGCGCGCAGGCGGUCUUUUAAGUCUGAUGUGAAAGCCCACGGCUCAACCCGUGGAGGGUCAUG
rnacentral:rRNA from 1 species